CUUUGAAGCCUGCCAAAUCUGCUGGAUUUGUUAAACGAAGUGGACAGGGUCUCAAAAUUGGCAGGAUCCUCCAAGUACAACUUCAACUGGGCCGCUCUUUUUGCUGUCCCAAACCUAACGACCGGCGCUCUGGUCAUCCCAUCUCUCAACAGGACACUUGUGGCUCCACCAGAUAAGUGAAUGGCCUUGCAACCCCUAUUGGUGCUGGCUACCAAGCACCCUUCAGUGGUAGCCAUGGGAACCGA
rnacentral:misc_RNA from 1 species